UACGGGGGGGGCAAGCGUUGGUCGGAAUUACUGGGCGUAAAGGGCUCGUAGGCGGCCAACUAAGUCGGACGUGAAAUCCCCAGGCUCAACCUGGGAACUGCGUCCGAUACUGGAUGGCUUGAAUUCGGGAGAGGGAUGCAGAAUUCCAGGUGUAGCGGUGAAAUGCGUAGAUAUCUGGAGGAAUACCGGUGGCGAAGGCGGCAUCCUGGACCGACAUUGACGCUGAUGAGCGAAAGCCAGGGGAGCAAACGGG
rnacentral:rRNA from 1 species